rnacentral:tRNA from 1 species
GGGAAUCAUAGCAAAGGGGUUAAUGCGACGGAUUAUUAAUCUGUAGGCGCAGGUUCGAUUCCUGCUGUUCCCA